rnacentral:rRNA from 1 species
GACAGAGGGUGCAAACGUUUGUUCGGAAUUACUGGGCGUAAAGCGUGUGUAGGCGGCCGCGUAAGUCGGGUGUGAAAGCCCAGGGCUCAACCCUGGAAGUGCACUCGAAACUGCGUGGCUCGAGUACCGGAGAGGUUGGUGGAAUUCUCGGUGUAGAGGUGAAAUUCGUAGAUAUCGAGAGGAACAUCGGUGGCGAAGGCGGCCAACUGGACGAGUACUGACGCUGAGACACGAAAGCGUGGGGAGCAAACAGG